rnacentral:rRNA from 1 species
UAGGGAAUCUUCCACAAUGGACGCAAGUCUGAUGGAGCAACGCCGCGUGAGUGAAGAAGGUUUUCGGACCGUAAAGCUCUGUUGUUGGCGAAGAAGGAUAGAGGUAGUAACUGGCCUUUAUUUGACGGUAAUCAACCAGAAAGUCACGGCUAACUACGUGCCAGCAGCCGCGGUAAUACGUAGGUGGCAAGCGUUGUCCGGAUUUAUUGGGCGUAAAGCGAGCGCAGGCGGAAGAAUAAGUCUGAUGUGAAAGCCCUCGGCUUAACCGAGGAAUUGCAUCGGAAACUGUUUUCUUGAGUGCAGAAGAGGAGAGUAGAACUCCAUGUGUAGCGGUGGAAUGCGUAGAUAUAUGGAAGAAUACCAGUGGCGAAGGCGGCUCUCUGGUCUGCAACUGACGCUGAGGCUCGAAAGCAUGGGUAGCGAACAGGAUUAGAUACCCUUGGUAGUCCAUGCCGUAAACGAUGAGUGCUAAGUGUUGGGAGGCUUCCGCCUCUCAGUGCUGCAGCUAACGCAUUAAGCACUCCGCCUGGGGGAGUACGACCGCAAGGUUGAAAC